rnacentral:rRNA from 1 species
UACGUAGGUGGCAAGCGUUGUCCGGAUUUACUGGGCGUAAAGGGCGUGCAGGCGGUUUGUUAAGUGCAGAGUGAAAGCUCCCGGCUCAACUGGGAGAGGUCUUUGCAUACUGGCAAACUCGAGGGAGGCAGAGGAAAGUGGAAUUCCCGGUGUAGUGGUGAUAUGCGUAGAUAUCGGGGGGAACACCUGUGGCGAAGGCGGCUUUCUGGGCCUUACCUGACGCUGAGACGCGAAAGCGUGGGGAGCGAACCGG